rnacentral:rRNA from 8 species
AAAUUGAAGAGUUUGAUCAUGGCUCAGAUUGAACGCUGGCGGCAGGCCUAACACAUGCAAGUCGAACGGUAACAGGAAGCAGCUUGCUGCUUCGCUGACGAGUGGCGGACGGGUGAGUAAUGUCUGGGAAACUGCCUGAUGGAGGGGGAUAACUACUGGAAACGGUGGCUAAUACCGCAUAACGUCGCA